UGGGUAAAAUAGUUUAAAAUAAAACCUAACACUGAAAAUGUUAAAUUGACUCAGGUCUUUACCCAUC
rnacentral:tRNA from 1 species